rnacentral:rRNA from 1 species
AUGGGUGGAACUGUGGGUGGCUGGCCAUGGUGGCUGGGCCUCCUGUUCGGCGCCGUCCCACUGCUCUGCCUCGCCGCCUGGCACUUCACCGACGCAUGGCACUGCGCAGCCUUCGCUCUCAAAUACCGCGGCCGUGGCAGCAAUGGCAGCCGGCGGCGCCUCCCGCCGGGACACAUGGGCAUCCCCUUCCUCGGCGAGACGCUCUCGCUGCUCUGGUACUUCAAGCUGGCCCGUCGCCCGGACGACUUCAUCGGCGCCAAGAAGAGCGCGUACGGCGGCGGGGCGGGGCUGUACAGGACGCACCUAUUCGGCGCCCCCAGCAUCAUUGCCUGCUCGCCGGCCGCCAACAGGUUCGUGCUCCAGUCCGCCGACACCUUCGGUGCCCGGUGGCCGGUGCCGGAGCUCGUCGGUAUCAGGGCCGUGGGGAACGUGGAGGGCGCCAGCCACGCCAGGCUCCGCGGGUUCAUCCUCGCCGCUAUCAACAAGCCGAGCUCGCUCGGGACCAUCGCGACAGUUGUGCAGCCGCGCAUCAUGGCGGCGCUGCGAGAGUGGGCGGAUAAGGGUACCAUUGUCGCGGCCACGGAGAUCAGAAAGGUGACAUUUGCUAACAUUUGUAAGAUGUUCAUAAGCAUGGAGCCAUCCCCUAUGACCGACAAGAUCGACCAAUGGUUUGGCGGCUUGGUUAAUGGCGUGAGGGCAUUCCCGUUAAAUUUCCCAGGGACUACAUCUCAUGGCGGUCGAAAGUGCCGUCAGAAGUUGAACGCAUUCUUCCGGGAGGUGCUGGAGGCAAGGAAGAACGUGGACAAGUGUGAUGAUUUGAUGAGUGGGCUGAUGCAUAUUGAGGACGAGCAGGGGAAGAAGCUGAGCGACGAGGAGGUGGUGGAUAACAUCGUCUCCCUCGUCAUGGCAGGCUAUGAGUCCACUGCCAGUGCCAUCAUGUGGGCUACCUAUCACCUCGCAAAAUCCCCCUCCGCCCUUGCCAAGCUUCGAGACGAGAAUAUAGCAUUGGUCAAAAGCAAAGGUGGUUCGACGUUGGCGAGUUUGACAAUCACCCGUGACGACAUCCCCAAGAUGAAGUACACAACAAAAGUGGUCGAGGAGACAAUCCGGAUGGCCAACAUUUCAUCGAUGGUCUAUCGUGUGGCGAACAAGGACGUGGAGUACCAUGGCUACACCAUACCGAAGGGGUGGCCGGUGGUCGUGUGGUUGAGGUCAUUGCAUACCGACCCGAAUUACUACCAGGAUCCCCUUACCUUCAAUCCUGACAGAUGGGAUGAACCGGCAAAGACAGGAACAUACCAGGUGUUCGGAGGCGGCUACAGGAUCUGCCCAGGCAACAUGCUUGCCAGGCUGCAGGUGACCAUCAUGCUGCAUCAUCUCUCCAUCGGCUACGAAUGGGAGUUGCUCAAUCCCGACGCAAAGAUAAAUUAUCUUCCACAGCCAAGGCCAAUGGAUGGUGCAUCCAUGGCUUUCCGUAAGCUUAGCAGCUGA